GCCUUGGACUGCGGCAUUGUGUAAGCCCUGCUGACAAGGACAGGCUGUGCUCUGAUGUUUGUGUCCCUCUGGCCCGUCCCGGAGACCCCAGCAGAGGUGUGCCCAGCCAUGGCCUCCAAGAGAGAAAAGAAGAGGAAGUGCAUGGCAAAAAUCUUUCAUACAUUCUGAAAAGUGGAGAGGAUGGAACAGCGCGCGCCCACACACGCAGCGGCCGGGGUCCACCCGGCUGGGUCCGCCCUGGCUUCUCAGAAAGCAUCUCGGGGCAAAGCGAGGGCCCAACAUCCUGCUAGGGGCUGCGACCCCGGGGAGGCGUCAAAAAUACAAUCCAGGGAGUGAAUAACCCAGGACGCAACGUGCAAUAAUCCACGCGAUGCGGCGGACGCGAUCCACCACUGGCCACAGCCCCGGCAGGUGCAUCUCCGAGCCACGAUGUAAUGGACUCCGGGUCUCCCUCUGCCUGAGCCGACGGCGGGCUGUAGCUCCUGCUCCUUCCGCACACCGUUCGGCUAGGCCACCUGCCGCACCUGCCGGCUCUAACCUCCCGCAGCGCCAGGACGCAGAGGCACUCGCGUGCUCUCCUCCGGUCCCAUCGUCGUCUCCUUCCAUCUCUUCGACUUUUCCCUCGGUUCAUCUGGGGGCCGUUCUCAAUCUCAUCACAUUUUUUUUGACACUCAACUCUGGGCUCUGCUGACCCUCUCUAGGAUAUACUGUUUCCUGUUUCAUGCAUUUCUGCUCGUGUGGCUACGUGCUCCCUUCCAUGUUUCCUGGAUUUACUCUACUAUUAAUUUUUAUUUUCUUUGAUGUGGUUACCUGUUCGGUGUCUUCUUCGUGUCUCAUGUGAGCACGUGGGAUGGAAGCCCCUGUUCACCCCCCAAGCUGCACACCGACGAGUCUGUGGUGAGACCCUGAGGCUCGAGGGAACGUUGCUAUGUGCUUAUUUCUUCCCCAUCCUGAGCCCACGCUGAUGAGGGGCAGUAAGGGAGACUCUCUCGUGAAUAAAUAAAUAAAAUUAAAAAACAAAACUCUGAGGUCAGGGCAGUCCUAAUCCCCAGGGAUUGCAGGACGGCGGCCAGGGUGUGAGGGGAGUACCGGGGAACCCGCGGAACCCCGCAGGCUGCAGGGCAGAGGCCGAGGCAGGGCAGGCCCCAGCCACUUUGCUGCUCUGCGUCUCGCGGGCUCUAUGCAAAAUGCCUACCUCUGCUUUUCUGGAUGAAUCACGCCUCACUGCCAAUCACCAGCAUCAGAGGUCAGACCCCUCACCCACCCCAACCUUUGCUUCACCUUCUCCACCGGAACCAAGAGCAGAAACCCAGGCAGAAGGGAUGUUGCAGGAUUCGGGUGGCAUUUCUCCCCGCCCCCCACCCCGCCCAGAAAACCUCCGGUUUGCUCUGCAGGCCCUUCAACUGAACAAGCCCAUUGAUAUGAUCUAGAACAGUCUCCCUCCCCUGCUUUUUUUUAUUUUUAAGAUUUUAUUUAUUUAUUCAUGGGAGACAGAGAGAGAGAGAGAGAGAGGCAGAGACACAGGCAGAGGGAGAAGCAGGCUCCAUGCAGGGAGCCCGAUACGGGGCUCGAUCUCGGGAUCCCGGGAUCACGCCCCGGGCCAAGGGCAGAUGCUCAACCGCUGAGCACCCCCCUCCCAGGGAUCCCUAGAACAGUCUCCUUCAAAGCCAACUAAUGGUAGAAGUUACGUGUCCCUACAGAACACCUUCCCACCAACGCCUCCCUCGGUGUCCCAGUGAAUCCCCAGAGACCGUAGCCUGCCUCAGUCGCCCAGAAAACUGACCAUCAUGUGGCUGCACAGCCAUGGGAAUGGACGUGCCACAGACCUGCCUGCACCUUAAACCAGUAAAGACACGACAUUUUAUGUCACGUGUAUUUACACACACACACGUGCGCGCGCACACACAGAUCCCUGACCGUCACAGGCUCCGAUCUGUGUGAAUGCCCAUGCCUGGAGACCACCCAGGACGUGUGACAAACUUCACCCGGAGGCCCAGAAGACACCCCCACCAAGGGAUGCUGUGGCUGGAAGAGGCUGCAGUCGGCAAAGCGGGGUUUGCGGCCGCGGCUGAGCUGUGUUCGGGCUGACCC
rnacentral:lncRNA from 1 species